GAGGUAAGGAAAGCGAAGUAGACAGGCAUAUUCACAUAACACGUAGGAGCACAUGGGGUCAAAUGAAGUGCAAGUGAGGGAUAGAGUGUACCUCCCUUGCAAUCGGGGCCCAAUGAAGUGAAAUCACUGACUUACCCUCCAAAAUAAUAAAAAGGUCAAGGUACCACUUAAAUUAUCAAAUAAAUCAGAAAAAAAUGGAAAUAAACGCCAAGUUGAAUCACUUGAGGCCUUCCAAAGAAAGUAAACUACUCGUACUUAACCAAUUAAGACAAGCAACGACCCAAUUGAGAAAUUAAAGAGGUUUAAAGAGCCAAUUUAU
rnacentral:lncRNA from 1 species